rnacentral:rRNA from 1 species
AGGUCCCGCCUGCCCAGUGAUCUUAUUUUUAACGGCCGCGGUAUCCUAACCGUGCAAAGGUAGCGUAAUCAUUUGUCUCCUAAAUAGAGACUUGUAUGAACGGCUAACUGAGGGCCUAACUGUCUCCUAGAGCUAAUCAAUGAAACUGAUCUUCCAGUACAAAAGCUGGAAUAAGCACAUAAGACGAGAAGACCCUGUGGAGCUUAAAACCAAUACUAUAAAAAUAUCUCCUACUAAGGAAUGUACAUUACACCCACUAUAAAUCAUAGUAAAAGUUUUUAGUUGGGGCGACUUUGGAACAAAACAAAACUUCCAUGCCAGGGACUAUAUCCCUAUUAAGGCUAACAUGCCAAAAUAUAAUUUUUUUGACCCAGCAUGCCUGAUCAACGAACCAAGUUACCCCAGGGAUAACAGCGCCAUCCUCUUCAAGAGUCCCUAUCGACAAGAGGGUUUACGACCUCGAUGUUGGAUCAGGACACCCCGGUGGUGCAACCGCUACCAAAGGUUCGUUUGUUCAACGAUUAACAGUCCUACGUGAUCUGAGUCA